AGCAGCCGCGGUAAUUCCAGCUCCAAUAGCGUAUAUUAAAGUUGCUGCAGUUAAAAAAGCUCGUAGUUGAAUUUCGGGACUAAUAUGUCGGUCGUGCCUCGGUACGUACUGGUUUUAUUGGUUUCUCCUUUCUGAAGAACCAUGAUGUCAUUUUAUUUGGUGUUGCGGGGAAUUUGGACUGUUACUUUGAAAAAAUUUAGAGUGUUUAAAGCAAGCUAACGCUUGAAUACAUUAGCAUGGAAUAAUGAAAUAGGACGUUCGAUCCUAUUUUUGUUGGUUUCUAGGAUUGACGUAAUGAUUAAUAGGGAUAGUUGGGGGGCAUUAGUAUUCAAUUGUCAGAGGUGAAAUUCUUGGAUUUAUUGAAGACUAACUACUGCGAAAGCAUUUGCCAAGGAUGUUUUCAUUAAUCAAGAACGAAAGUUAGGGGAUCGAAGACGAUCAGAUACCGUCGUAGUCUUAACCAUAAACUAUGCCGACUAGGGAUCGGACGCAGUUAAUUUUUAUAAUGACGUGUUCGGCA
rnacentral:rRNA from 1 species